GACAAAUUUUGGCUUUUGAUGGUCACAAUAGGCUCUUGUGCCAUCUGUUUCCUUUUAGCCCUUUCACUGGCUAACUUCGACUCAUCCUUUGUCAUUUGGCUGAGGUCUGAUGUCUCCAGAGUUCCUUCUCUAGUUUCUGACUUUUUCUUCAAAAACAGUCACAUUCUGAGGCACUAGUGGAGAGGAUUCCCACAUACGGAUUUUGAGGAGGACCCAAUUCAGCUCACAUUGUAUACCCUACCUGAAGUCUUAACUAGUGGGAAGAAAACGAACCUAGGAUUAGUUUGGAGGUUAUUUCUUAAAGCCCAGCUGCAAAAUCACUGUGGUUUGGAGCCAGGCCAGAAGAUGCAGGAAUUGACAUACCCAGAGACCUGGGCAUCAAGACGAGUUCAAGAAGUAGAAGAUGGAAGAAAAAUGAGAUACUUCCUUGGAGGAUGGGUGCUUCGGACAUGUGGCAAUAAUGAAUUCUUUUUUUUUUUUUAAACAACAUCUUUAUUGGAGUAUAAUUGCUUCACAAUGGUGUGUUACUUUCUGCUUUAUAACAAAGUGAAUCAGCUAUACAUAUACAUAUAUCCCCAUAUCUCUUCCCUCUUGCAUCUCCCUCCCUCCCACCCUCCCUAUCCCACCCCUCUAGGUGGUCACAAAGCACCGAGCUGAUCUCCCUGUGCUAUGCGGCUGCUUCCCACUAGCUAUCUAUUUUACAUUUGGUAGUGUAUAUAAGUCCAUGCCACUCUCUCACUUCGUCCCAGCUUAUCCUUCCCUCUCCCCGUGUCCUAAAGUCCAUUCUCUACGUCUGUGUCUUUAUUCCUGUCCUGCCCCUAGGUUCUUCAUGAUGAUGAUGAUGAUGAAUUCUUAUAAUAAAACUUGAAAUGGGAGAAGAAUCUGAUUUCAGUGUAGAAUAAUCAGAGAAUUUCCCUCUCUUUCAAAAAAUAAAAUGGU